rnacentral:rRNA from 1 species
UACGAAGGGGGCUAGCGUUGUUCGGAUUUACUGGGCGUAAAGCGCAUGUAGGCGGGUCGUUAAGUUGGGGGUGAAAUCCCGAGGCUCAACCUCUGAACUGCCUUCAAAACUGGCGGCCUGGAGCAAGAUAGAGGCAAGUGGAAUUGCGAGUGUAGAGGUGAAAUUCGUAGAUAUUCGCAAGAACACCAGUGGCGAAGGCGACUUGCUGGAUCUUUGCUGACGCUGAGAUGCGAAAGCGUGGGGAGCCAACAGG